rnacentral:snoRNA from 1 species
GUCCUCGAUUCUUGGCGCUCUGAUGUUUAGCAUUCAUCAGAAGUGUAUGCAUAAUCGGAGGUAGAGUAGGUUGUGCCAAGUGGCGCAGCAGUCGAAUCACCUUCGGUGUCAAGCUUGAUCGCUUGUUUGAUAUCAUCCUCUGGAUUCGAAACACUU